AACUGAAUAUUUAAGUGGAUUAUGCAAAUUCAUCUUCCUCUUGAACCUUCAUAAUCAGUUCUCUAUCAGUGUGCAGCUCAAUAAUUCAGUACAACAAUAUGGAGCGUAAAGUUUUGGGAUUUACAGUACUGUUACUGGCUUCUCAAUAUUGUUGGUGUCAGACACUGACUGAGUCUGAAGCUGUAGUCAUCAAACCUGGAGAAUCCCAUAAACUGACAUGUACUGCCUCUGGUUUGGACUUUGAUAACUACUGGAUGGCUUGGAUCAGACAGAAGUCUGGAAAAGAGCUGGAAUGGCUGGCAUUGAUCAGAUAUGAUAGCCAGUAUAUGUAUUACUCCCAGUCUGUCCAAGGACGGUUCACCAUCUCCAAAGACAACAGUAGGAAGCAGGUGUAUCUGCAGAUGAACAGCCUGAAGAAUGAAGACACUGCUGUAUAUUAUUGUGCCCGAGAGACACAGUGACUGAAAUGACUGCAGCGCUGUGCACAAAAA